rnacentral:rRNA from 1 species
AUUGAACGCUGGCGGCAUGCUUUACACAUGCAAGUCGAACGGCAGCGCGGGCUUCGGCCUGGCGGCGAGUGGCGAACGGGUGAGUAAUGCAUCGGAACGUGCCCAGCUGUGGGGGAUGGCCCGGCGAAAGCCGGAUUAAUACCGCAUACGACCUGAGGGUGAAAGCGGGGGACCGAAAGGCCUCGCGCUGUUGGAGCGGCCGAUGUCGGAUUAGCUAGUUGGUGGGGUAAAGGCUUACCAAGGCGACGAUCCGUAGCUGGUCUGAGAGGACGACCAGCCACACUGGAACUGAGACACGGCCCAGACUCCUACGGGAGGCAGCAGUGGGGAAUUUUGGACAAUGGGGGCAACCCUGAUCCAGCCAUGCCGCGUGGGGGAAGAAGGCCUUCGGGUUGUAAAGCGCUUUUGUUCGGGAAGAAAACCUCUAGGCUAAUACCCCGGGGGGAUGACGGUACCGGAAGAAUAAGCACCGGCUAACUACGUG